rnacentral:rRNA from 1 species
AUACGGAGGGUGCAAGCGUUAUCCGGAUUUACUGGGUUUAAAGGGUACGCAGGCGGUAAUUUAAGUCAGUGGUGAAAGCCUACAGCUCAACUGUAGAACUGCCAUUGAAACUGAAUUACUUGAGUAUGGUAGAGGUAGGCGGAAUACAACAUGUAGCGGUGAAAUGCAUAGAUAUGUUGUAGAACACCGAUUGCGAAGGCAGCUUACCAAACCAUUACUGACGCUCAUGUACGAAAGCGUGGGGAGCGAACAGGAUUAGAAACCCCAGGAGUCC